UACGGGGGGGGUAAGCGUUGUUCGGAAUUACUGGGCGUAAAGGGCUCGUAGGCGGCCAACUAAGUCAGACGUGAAAUCCCUCAGCUUAACUGGGGAACUGCGUCUGAUACUGGAUGGCUUGGAUUCGGGAGAGGAAUGCGGAAUUCCCGGUGUAGCGGUGAAAUGUGUAGAGAUCGGGAGGAACACCGGUGGCGAAGGCGGCGUUCUGGACUGCAACUGACACUGAUGAACGAAAGCCAGGGGAGCAAACGGG
rnacentral:rRNA from 1 species